GUAGGGAAUAUUGCGCAAUGGGGGAAACCCUGACGCAGCAACGCCGCGUGAGUGAGGAAGGUCUUCGGAUUGUAAAACUCUUUUAUUAGGGAAAAAUGUCUAGGUGGCUAAUAUCCACUUAGAGUGAUGGUACCUAAGGAAUAAGCACCGGCUAACUUCGUGCCAGCAGCCGCGGUAAUACGAAGGGUGCAAGCGUUGUUCGGAAUCAUUGGGCGUAAAGCGCGCGCAGGCGGGUCAGUAAGUCAGGUGUGAAAUCUCGGAGCUCAACUCCGAAACUGCGCCUGAAACUAUUGGUCUAGAGUAUCGGAGGGGACAGGGGAAUUUCACGUGUAGGGGUAAAAUCCGUAGAGAUGUGAAGGAACACCGGAGGCGAAGGCGCCUGUCUGGACGAUUACUGACGCUGAGGCGCGAAAGCGUGGGGAGCAAACAGGAUUAGAAACCCGAGUAGUCC
rnacentral:rRNA from 1 species